CCGGGGAAGAACAGCUCGGGAGGAGGCUCCGCACCGCCCCCCUGCCCGCCUGCUCGCCCGCCCUCGGGCCUGGGGCCGGGCCCGGAGCGCCGCCCAGCCAGGAUCCCUCAGCCCCAGGCCCGGGGCAGGGGCGAGGCCGGCCAGCUUUUAUAAGUGAAGCCGUGGAUGGAUCAACUAUUCUUCAAAUUUUUCCAGUUUCUAUUGGACAGGUUCUGAUUGGAUAAAUUUGAUCCCAGAUACAAUGUCUGCGGCUUGCAGUACAGAAAAGAAUCAUAUGAAACUUUACAAAUUAAUAUGAACUUGGAAUUUACCAUUAUGGUCAAAGAAAGAUGUCUGAUGAAUGGAUGAACAGUCUCAGAGCUGUACUGUAAUGAUGGGGUCAUUUCAUGGUAAUGGAUAGGUAUGUCAUCAGUAUGAGAGAGGAGCACACUGACAACAUGGUGAUUCAGCAGCAGAGAAUACUGAGUAUCAGUGGAAGAAGAUUUUCCUAAAUUCAGGGUAUGUGGCAGCAGAGAAGGUUUGUCCCUUGGCCCUUUGCUGGAUAUGAGAAAGGGGAACACAAGAAAAGAUCAGGAUGGAUUUUUGAUAUCCACAAAAUUUGACAUAUCAGAUUGAUAAAAAUAGCACAGCAGAGAACAUCCAAUACAGAAUCAGAUUUACCACAAAUCAAAACUGAAGUGUGAGUUUAUUUCAAAUUCAGAAGAUCCUUACAGCAGUGAGGCUGCUGUCAGCUAUGAAUUAAAGUUCUACUUUGGAAAUCACAUGCUGGCUGAGGGAAUAGUUAUCUUUUGUAGGAACACAAACUUCCAAGCUUAUGGGCAGAGUAAUAUUAACUGGAGACACAGACAUUCCAAGAAGCCAAGUUAAACAUCUUAAAUCAGCAUUAAGGUUGGUUUUGGUGCAGAGGGAAAGACUCUGCAGGCCCCAGAAGGAAGCAGCAGUGGAAUUAGGAGUGACUGAGAUACAAAACUGGCCCUGACUUUUUGCUCUUUCUUGCGAAGCAUGUAAGAUUAGGUGUUUAAUAAGCACUGCAGUAAUCUGUUGAAGGCUAGUUCUCCCUCCCCUCUUUGAAACAAAAUGAAGGACAAAUGAGGCUGGGGAUGCCACUGGUUCAGGAAUGGGAUGAAUCACAAUGAGAGCCACCUUCGGGCAGGAAAACCUUACUCCCCUCGGGGAAACGUUUCUCCCUUCUCAUUGCUUCUAUUCCCCGGGAAGCUCACAGUGGGACACCUCCAGACAACGGCCUCCUGAAGCAUUGUGCCCUAAUGGGAGGCGGUUGAAUGAGAUGGCGGGGAGGUAUCUCAAAACAAUGGGCGUAGGAAGGCACCCAUCUCCUUCUGGAAUUCGACGACCAAGCAGGAAGAAGUGGAGACCUCGUCUGUAAUCUUGAUCGGGCCGGCAGUGUGAGCUGACAAGGAUGCCUACAGCAAUGUAAUGAAGCCCUAUUCUUAGAAUUCAGUAACGGGUAAACGUCAUCAGUAAUUUUCCAAUUAUAUUUUAAUGCCCAUUUUUUGAGCAUGAAAUUUCUUCAGAUCGACAAGUUUCUAUGUAACCACAGAAAAAUUUCCCAGUGGAAUUACCUCGAGGA